AUGAAGCCUUUCGGGUUGUAAAGCUCUGUCUUUUGGGACGAUAAUGACGGUACCAAAGGAGGAAGCCAGGGCUAAUUACGUGCCAGCAGCCGCGGUAAUACGUAGGUGGCAAGCGUUGUCCGGAUUUACUGGGCGUAAAGAAUGCGUAGGCGGAUAUUUAAGUGAGAUGUGAAAUUCCCGGGCUCAACUUGGGAGCUGCAUUUCAAACUGGAUAUCUGGAGUGCGGGAGAGGAGAGUGGAAUUCCUAGUGUAGCGGUGAAAUGCGUAGAGAUUAGGAAGAACACCAGUGGCGAAGGCGACUCUCUGGACCGUAACUGACGCUGAGGCAUGAAAGCGUGGGGAGCAAACAGGAUUAGAUACCCUGGUAGUCCACGCCGUAAACGAUGGAUACUAGGUGUGGGGGCUGUCAUGGCUUCCGUGCCGUCGUUAACACAGUAAGUAUCCCGCCUGGGGAGUACGGUCGCAAGAUUAAAACUCAAAGGAAUUGACGGGGGCCCGCACAAGCAGCGGAGCAUGUGGUUUAAUUCGAAGCAACGCGAAGAACCUUACCUGGACUUGACAUCGCCUGAAUUACCUGUAAUGAGGGAAGCCCUUCGGGGCAGGCAGACAGGUGGUGCAUGGUUGUCGUCAGCUCGUGUCGUGAGAUGUUGGGUUAAGUCCCGCAACGAGCGCAACCCUUAUUGUUAGUUGCUACCAUUAAGUUGAGCACUCUAGCGAGACUGCCGGGGUUAACUCGGAGGAAGGUGGGGAUGACGUCAAAUCAUCAUGCCCCUUAUGUCCAGGGCUACACACGUGCUACAAUGGCGAGUACAACAAGAUGCUAAGCCGCGAGGUGGAGCAAAACUGUAAAACUCGUCCCAGUUCGGAUUGUAGGCUGAAACUCGCCUACAUGAAGCCGGAGUUGCUAGUAAUCGCGAAUCAGCAUGUCGCGGUGAAUACGUUCCCGGGCCUUGUACACACCGCCCGUCACACCAUGAGAGUUGGCAAUACCCGAAGUCCGUGAGCUAACGCGUAAGCGGGGCAGCGGCCGAAGGUAGGGUCAGCGAUUGGGGUGAAGUCGUAACAAGGUAGCCGUAGAAU
rnacentral:rRNA from 1 species